rnacentral:rRNA from 1 species
AAAUUGAAGAGUUUGAUCAUGGCUCAGAUUGAACGCUGGCGGCAGGCCUAACACAUGCAAGUCGAACGGUAGCAGGAAGCAGCUUGCUGCUUCGCUGACGAGUGGCGGACGGGUGAGUAAUGUCUGGGAAACUGCCUGAUGGAGGGGGAUAACUACUGGAAACGGUAGCUAAUACCGCAUAAUGUCGCAAGACCAAAGAGGGGGACCUUCGGGCCUCUUGCCAUCGGAUGUGCCCAGAUGGGAUUAGCUUGUUGGUGGGGUAACGGCUCACC